rnacentral:rRNA from 1 species
UACGUAGGGUGCAAGCGUUGUCCGGAAUUAUUGGGCGUAAAGAGCUCGUAGGCGGUCUGUCGCGUCUGCUGUGAAAACUCAGGGCUUAACCCUGAGCUUGCAGUGGGUACGGGCAGACUAGAGUGCGGUAGGGGUGACUGGAAUUCCUGGUGUAGCGGUGGAAUGCGCAGAUAUCAGGAGGAACACCGAUGGCGAAGGCAGGUCACUGGGCCGCAACUGACGCUAAGGAGCGAAAGCAUGGGGAGCGAACAGG